UUAAUAUCCAGAGGGUACUGGUAGGUUCCAGGAUUACACUCUGUUGUCAGCAGAAGGAUCAUCCAUUGAUACACUAUUUCAUCUUGGAGUGACUCAAGCCUGCAAACACUGCCACAAUCUUCCCUCUGUGCACUUCAUCCCAACGCCACUGAAGUCAAAAGAAAGUGGUUACACA